GGGCCUUAGCUCAGUGGUAGAGCACCUGUUUUGCAUACAGAAGGUCCCAGGUUCAGUUCCCGGCAUCUCCU